rnacentral:rRNA from 1 species
GAUGAACGCUGGCGGCGUGCCUAAUACAUGCAAGUCGAGCGAACGGACGAGAAGCUUGCUUCUCUGAUGUUAGCGGCGAACGGGUGAGUAACACGUGGAUAACCUACCUAUAAGACUGGGAUAACUUCGGGAAACCGGAGCUAAUACCGGAUAAUAUUUUGAACCGCAUGGUUCAAAAGUGAAAGACGGUCUUGCUGUCACUUAUAGAUGGAUCCGCGCUGCAUUAGCUAGUUGGUAAGGUAACGGCUUACCAAGGCAACGAUGCAUAGCCGACCUGAGAGGGUGAUCGGCCACACUGGAACUGAGACACGGUCCAGACUCCUACGGGAGGCAGCAGUAGGGAAUCUUCCGCAAUGGGCGAAAGCCUGACGGAGCAACGCCACGUGAGUGAUGAAGGUCUUCGGAUCGUAAAACUCUGUUAUUAGGGAAGAACAUAUGUGUAAGUAACUGUGCACAUCUUGACGGUACCUAAUCAGAAAGCCACGGCUAACUACGUG